rnacentral:rRNA from 1 species
UACGUAGGGGGCAAGCGUUGUCCGGAUUUAUUGGGCGUAAAGAGCGUGUAGGCGGCCUGGAAGGUCAGCUGUGAAAACUCGAGGCUCAACCUCGAGACGUCGGUUGAAACCACCUGGCUAGAGUCCGGAAGAGGAGAGUGGAAUUCCUGGUGUAGCGGUGGAAUGCGCAGAUAUCAGGAGGAACACCGGUGGCGAAGGCGGGUCUCUGGGCAGUAACUGACGCUGAGGAGCGAAAGCGUGGGGAGCGAACAGG